rnacentral:hammerhead_ribozyme from 1 species
AUCCAACUGAUGAGUCGCAAAUAGGACGAAACGCAUGUUAUGGAU